rnacentral:rRNA from 1 species
GAUGAACGCUGGCGGCGUGCCUAAUACAUGCAAGUCGAGCGAACGGACGAGAAGCUUGCUUCUCUGAUGUUAGCGGCGGACGGGUGAGUAACACGUGGAUAACCUACCUAUAAGACUGGGAUAACUUCGGGAAACCGGAGCUAAUACCGGAUAAUAUUUUGAACCGCAUGGUUCAAAAGUGAAAGACGGUCUUGCUGUCACUUAUAGCUGGAUCCGCGCUGCAUUAGCUAGUUGGUAAGGUAACGGCUUACCAAGGCAACGAUGCAUAGCCGACCUGAGAGGGUGCUCGGCCACACUGGAACUGAGACACGGUCCAGACUCCUACGGGAGGCAGCAGUAGGGAAUCUUCCGCAAUGGGCGAAAGCCUGACGGAGCAACGCCGCGUGAGUGAUGAAGGUCUUCGGAUCGUAAAACUCUGUUAUUAGGGAAGAACAUAUGUGUAAGUAACUGUGCACAUCUUGACGGUACCUAAUCAGAAAGCCACGGCUAACUACGUG